CCAAAGAUAAACAAUUCAAUAACCCUAUUAUUAUCUCGUCAAACACCCACCAGACAAAAACAGAGACAACUGAUACUUGAUUUAAAUCUGAUGCACAUUCAUAUAAAGUCAUCGUUUCAUAUGGACUAAUAUUCCAUGAAGAUAUAUCAUGCGAUACAUAUGCAUUCCGAGUACAUUAUUGAAAUAAAGAUGCUGCAAAUUUGCACUUUCGGACCUCGCUACAAAUCAAACGCCAGAUAUUUGACCAUGGCAAAUCGAACUUUUUUCUGGCAAUUAAUUAUAGUUGUCGUGGGGAUGCCAAAUUUUUUUAGCAAACAUGGCAAAUCUGCCGUGUUCAGCUUUUUGUCAGGAUUUGACAUGCUUUUUUUUGGCGGGGCAGGAUUUGACAUGCUUGCCAAAAAAAAAACAUCACUAUGACAACUAUAAUUGCUAUGAAACGUUUGAUUUGACAUGA
rnacentral:rRNA from 1 species